AGAGCUGUGCGCGGGACCGGAAGUUCCGGUCGGCCUCUUCCUGGGCGCCAUCUUGUCGAGGGCGGAGGCGGCAGCGGAGCGGGAAACGGAGGCCAUGCCGUCCCCUCCGGCCGUGGGGCUGUUCAGCAGCGAUGACCCCACGCGGCGCUUCCAGGACCUCAGGGAGGUCGGCCGGGGCAGCUUCGGAGCCGUGUUCAGGGCCCGUGACACGUGCACCAAUGAGGUGGUGGCAGUCAAGAAGAUGUCCUA